GUCUGAGUGUAUUAAGUGCCGUGCCGGCCUGUCCGCACUGUAGCGAGUGGCGCCCCGCCCUCCUCUGUGAUCACGUGAUCUUGUGACCGCCGACCAAUUCCUGGCCGGCUGGGUCAGUCGGUGCCGGGCAGCCAGCCAAUACAGGCCUAUCGAGGACGCGGACUUUACAGUGGCGACGAGGCAACCACUCACAGGCGGCGAUGACCAACGAGAGCAAGGUGACCAGCCCUCCUGGAAUGUCGGCUAUUGGCAUCGGUGAAUACCAGGCGAGUACAGAUUGGCAAGAAUAUGUCGAAAGAUUUGAAUUUUCUUGUUUUGCACAAGGUAUCACUGAGGAUGAGCGCAAAAAAGCCUUAUUACUUGCAUCUGUUGGCCAAGAAACUUAUACGAGUAUCAAGUCAGUUUUGUCACCGGCAUCACCUGUUGGACUUCCAUAUGUGGAGUUGUUGGAGCGAGUGGGUCGGCAUUUAGCACCCAAGCAAUCAGUGAUACUCAGCCGGUUUAAGUUCAAUCAGUGCAUUCAGGAACCUCAUCAGUCAGCUGCUGAUUACGUCGCUAACCUCAAGAGAUUGGCCGAAAAAUGUGAUUUUGGUCAGACUUUGGACAGCAUGCUUCGUGACAGACUUGUGUGCGGGGUCAAAGACUCCGUGUUGCAGAAGCGGCUUCUGGCGGAGGAGGACUCCCUGACGUUCGUCAUGGCCGAGAGGUUGGCGCUGGCGGCGGAGUCGGUCACCAGAGACGUGGGUCAGCUCGCGGCGGGCCGUGCCGUCGGUUCGCUGGAAUCUGAAGCGGUACACCGCGCCGAUCAGCUGAUUUCUGACCGGCAGCGCGCCGGUUCCGUGACCGGGUCAAGGUCAGUGGGUCGCGGUCGAGCCGCGGCGGCCGCCGGGUCGCGGCAGGCUGGCCGGCCGGGGCGGGGGACCGGUGACCGACCGGGAGGGUCCGAAGCAGCCGACAUGAGGCGGCGUCAGGACUGCUAUCGAUGUGGUGGUAUGCAUAACCCACGGAACUGUCGAUUCCGCGACUAUCACUGUCAUAGCUGCGGUGAGCUGGGGCACCUGAAACGCAAGUGUGUUCGAAGUGUCCAUGCUGUAACCGACCCUCCUGCAGUUCAGAAUGAUGACAGUCAGAGUGAGUCAGAUGUUUGCAGUAUCUACUCUGUUGGCCGCCCCAAGUGUCCCCCGAUCACCGUCGAGGUACUGGUUUUCGGUGUCCCUGUGCGGUUUGAAGUUGACACCGGGGCUGCUAGCACUCUGAUGACCGCCGAAACGUUCCGGAAUGUGUCGGACAACGGGGGGCAUGGCGGGCUGACGCUCUCCAGGUCAGAGGCGAGGCUGCGCUCGUAUACGGGAAACGCCAUCCCUGUCAUCGGUGAGUUCAGCGCCGUUGUGAGGUACGAAAGCCAGCAUCUGGACCUGCCCGUUCUGGUCGUCGAGUCACACGGGCCGAAUCUGCUGGGCCGUGAUUGGUUGGCGACACUGAAGCUUGACUGGUGCGGCAUCAAACAGGUGAGAAACCUGGGCGCCGGGUGGAGGAGCAGCUUCAGGCGGAGGUGGAAGCCGGUGUCCUAGAGCCGGUGAAGUCGUCAGACUGGGCCUGCCAGAUCGUUCCAGUCUUGAAGCCGGACGAGGGAGAUGGAGAAGCUGCUGGCCGGUCUGCAGAAUGUGUUCGUCUUCCUGGACGACGUGCUCGUCUCUGGGUGCGACGAAGUGGAGCUGCUGAAGACUGUGGAGGAGGUGCUGCGGCGUUUCCAGGACGCUGGCGUCAAGGACAACCGCUCCAUACAUGCCGUCUUCCAACGGGCUGGCUGAGAGAGCGGUGCGAGAGCUGAAGAUUCGGCUCAACAAGAUGUCAGCUGAUCAACCGAUGUCGUGGAUCCCUGGAGCCGAGCGACAGCCAUCCGGACUCGCCGCGCCCUGGUGUUGGAGCGCGCUCUGGCUCCGCCGGCGGCUCGCAUGCCGCUACGCCGCUGGACACUGCCCUGGCCUCGCCAGGAGGAGGCGCGGAGGCGGUGCGGCCUGCGUCCCCUGUCGACGUCGACGAGCCGGGGGACUCUGUUCGGCCGCCCGAGGACCGCCGAGCCGCGUCUCCCGCCCGCGUCGCUGACGGCGUGGGAGCGAGGGAUGCCGAUGGGGAAGAAAGGCGCUAUCCUGUGCGCGUGAGGCGAGCGCCUGAUCGUUUCGGACACUGAUGUGCCGUGAUUCUAUCCGGUAGAAACCGUGACUGAUUCAGUUAAUUUUGUUUUGUUAACUCUGACCAUUGACUCGUUCAAUGUGUCAUUUUGGUGUCGGGGAGGUGUAGUGUCUGAGUGUAUUAAGUGCCGUGCCGGCCUGUCCGCACUGUAGCGAGUGGCGCCCCGCCCUCCUCUGUGAUCACGUGAUCUUGUGACCGCCGACCAAUUCCUGGCCGGCUGGGUCAGUCGGUGCCGGGCAGCCAGCCAAUACAGGCCUAUCGAGGA
rnacentral:misc_RNA from 1 species